rnacentral:rRNA from 1 species
AGCGAACGCUGGCGGCAGGCCUAACACAUGCAAGUCGAACGAAGUCUUCGGACUUAGUGGCGGACGGGUGAGUAACACGUGGGAACGUGCCUUUAGGUUCGGAGUAACUCAGGGAAACUUGUGCUAAUACCGAAUGUGCCCUUCGGGGGAAAGAUUUAUCGCCUUUAGAGCGGCCCGCGUCUGAUUAGCUAGUUGGUGAGGUAAAGGCUCACCAAGGCUACGAUCAGUAGCUGGUCUGAGAGGAUGACCAGCCACAUUGGGACUGAUACACGGCCCAAACUCCUACGGGAGGCAGCAGUGGGGAAUCUUGCGCAAUGGGCGAAAGCCUGACGCAGCCAUGCCGCGUGGAUGAUGAAGGUCUUAGGAUUGUAAAAUCCUUUCACCGGUGAAGAUAAUGACUGUAGCCGGAGAAGAAGCCCCGGCUAACUUCGUGCCAGCCGCCGCGGUAACAC